rnacentral:rRNA from 1 species
GAUGAACGCUGGCGGCGUGCCUAAUACAUGCAAGUCGAGCGAACAGACGAGGAGCUUGCUCCUCUGACGUUAGCGGCGGACGGGUGAGUAACACGUGGAUAACCUACCUAUAAGACUGGGAUAACUUCGGGAAACCGGAGCUAAUACCGGAUAAUAUAUUGAACCGCAUGGUUCAAUAGUGAAAGACGGUUUUGCUGUCACUUAUAGAUGGAUCCGCGCCGCAUUAGCUAGUUGGUAAGGUAACGGCUUACCAAGGCAACGAUGCGUAGCCGACCUGAGAGAGUGAUCGGCCACACUGGAACGGAGACACGGUCCAGACUCCUACGGGAGGCAGCAGGAGGGAAUCUUCCGCAGUGGGCGAAAGCCUGACGGAGCAACGCCGCGUGAGUGAUGAAGGUCUUCGGAUCGUAAAACUCUGUUAUUAGGGAAGAACAAAUGUGUAAGUAACUAUGCACGUCUUGACGGUACCUAAUCAGAAAGCCACGGCUAACUACGU